UGCAUCUAAGUAUUAAACAUAUCUUGUAUUAAUAGAAGGAAAUCUUUUUACUGAAACAUUCACUGUUCACAAAAGUUGUGAGAACAAAAAAUUUUCCAAAUUUUUUAAUGAUUCUUAGAAGUUACUUUCAAGUAGAAAAUCAUAGUAUUGAAAACAUAAAUAAAGGAUUUGAAAGCUCAAAAAUUUUAGUUUUAUCCCCGUUUGCCAACGCAGUUUCGCUGAUUAACUUGAGAUGAGCCGUUAUCAAGUUGUCAUGUACGUCAGCGACAUACUAACUUUGGAGGAGCUCCUUUCAUCCGUAGUUUAUUCACAAAAAAAAUUAAAAAAAAAAAUAAAGUUAGAAAUUUUUUUUUGUUAUUCAAGAGCGUGUGUGCUGAGCUGGAUAAAGUUCAUGUCAAUAUCUAAAAUAGUUCUUGUGUAAAUAAAUUAUUAAUGUUGGCUUUUUUUCGAGCGCCAGAACCAGAAUGAUCCCUUAAAUAAAGAAGGUUAAAGAUCACCAAAAAAUUGAAAAAUUUUUUUUUCUCCUACAAUUUUUGCGAGGAGUGUAUUAAUCAAAGCAACAUUUGAGACUGUAUGACUAGAGUGUCUAAGAAAGAAAAAAGAAUUUAGUGUACCUGCAUAAUCCUUCAGGUAUCAUCUUUAAAUGAUUUUUUGCUGCAGAAAAUAUUUGUAGCGACGACAGUUUACCAAUACCUGGAGGGAUUCCUUCAAAUUCUAAAUGAUUAUCAUUUAAAUAGAGGCAUCUCAGUGUAGAAAUUCGACAGAUAGAAGCAG